UAAGCGGAGGAAAAGNAACUACNAGGAUUCCCCUAGUAACNGCGAGUGAAGCGGGAAAAGCUCAAAUUUAAAAUCUGGUGGCCUUNGUCCNUCCGNGUUGUANUUUAGAGAAGCGUCUUCCGCGCUGGACCGUGCACAAGUCUCCUGGAACGGAGCGUCAUAGAGGGUGAGAAUCCCGUCUUUGGCACGGACACACCAGGGCUUUUGUGAUGCGCUCUCAAAGAGUCGAGUUGUUUGGGAAUGCAGCUCAAAAUGGGUGGUGAACUCCAUCUAAAGCUAAAUAUUGGCGAGAGACCGAUAGCGAACAAGUACCGUGAGGGAAAGAUGAAAAGCACUUUGGAAAGAGAGUGAAACAGUACGUGAAAUUGUUGAAAGGGAAACGCUUGAAGUCAGUCGCGUCGCCCGAGACUCAGCCUUGCCUCGGCUUGGUGUACUUCUCGGCUGACGGGUCAGCAUCAAUUUUGCCCCUUGGAUAAUGGCGAGGGAAAUGUGACACCUUUACGGGUGUGUUAUAGUCUCUCGUCGCAUGCAAGGGUCGGGAUUGAGGAACUCAGCACGCGCCCUCGGGCGUCGGGGCAUCUGCCCACGAUACGUGCUUAGGAUGUUGGCGUAAUGGCUUUAAACGACC
rnacentral:rRNA from 1 species